GCCACCACAAGGCUCACAUAAGAUUCCUGCCUCAACCUUUCAAUUGAAAACAGACAGAUAAAGAGUUCGAAAGCAGCACACCAUCUCAGUAAGCAAGAAACGCAGAUGGCAAGAGGUAAAGAUUCAGUAUCUUAAAAUGGAGAGCAGAUGAUAUUAAUAGAAAAUGGGGUUAAACCAAUGCAGAUCUAAACUAUCUACCAAGGGUCACUGCAAAGGGACCAUCCUUACAGUUGAAGAUUUGAAGAAAAGGAAGAUAGCAUCCUUACAUGGUUUUGUCUUUUUAAAAUCAGCAGCUUUAUCAUAAAUAAUAGUUAUUUGAAUAAAAUGCUUCUGAAAAGUUAAGAGCAAUCAAUGCACUUUACAUAGCCUACUUCUAAAUAGUUAGACAACAUUGUGUACAUUAAGAUGAUGUUGCUUAAAAGCACUUUACAUCUUUCUACCCUUUUUCUCCCUCACAGCUCUGGUGGCAUGCUUAUAUAUGCUGAUGAUGUUGCUUUAAACUAUCUUUUCUUAUGCUUGUUUCUGAGUAACUAAUUCCUUGUUUCUUUCAUUUGCCUAAAAGUCAUUCUGUA
rnacentral:lncRNA from 1 species